rnacentral:misc_RNA from 1 species
GAUGAAGAACGUAGUGAAAUGCGAUAAGUAAUGUGAAUUGCAGAAUUCAGUGAAUCAUCGAAUCUUUGAACGCACAUUGCGCCCGCCAGUAUUCUGGCGAGCAUGCCUGUUCGAGCGUCAUUUCAACCAUCAAGCCCCAGGCUUGUGUUGGAGCCCUGCGGCUGCCGCAGCCUCCCAAAACCAGUGGCGGGCUCGCUAUCACACCGAGUGCAGUAGUUUACUCUUCGCUCAGGGCGUGUGGCGGGUGCUAGCCGUGAAACCCCCAACUUCUCAAGGUUGACCUCGGAUCACGUAGGAAUACCCGCUGAACUUAAGCAUAUCAAUAAGCGGAGGA